AGUGAACGCUGGCGGCAGGCUUAACACAUGCAAGUCGAACGGCAGCGCGGUCUGCGGCCUCUCUUCGGGGUGGGAAGUGGCGAGUAGUAGAGCAAUACGUGGCCAUCUAUUUUUUAGAGGUGGGUAAAGUCCGGAAUAAUACGCCAAAACAGCAUACGACGAAAGGGUGGGAGCAUGGGACCUUCGGCCAUUGGAGGGGCCAAUGAGACGAUGUCGGAUUAGCUAGUUGGAGGGGUAAAGGCCCACCAAGGCGACGAUCUGUAGCUGGUCUGAGAGGAUGAUCAGCCACACUGGAACUGAGACACGGUCCAGACUCCUACGGGAGGCAGCAGUGGGGAAUUUUGGACAAUGGGCGCAAGCCUGAUCCAGCCAUGCCGCGUGUGUGAUGAAGGCCUUCGGGUUGUAAAGCACUUUUGGUGGGAAAGAAAAGCACUGUGUUAAUACCACGCUUUGCUGACGGUACCCAAAGAAUAAGCACCGGCUAACUUCGUG
rnacentral:rRNA from 1 species